UGGGGAAUAUUGGACAAUGGGCGAAAGCCUGAUCCAGCCAUGCCGCGUGAGUGACGAAGGCCUUAGGGUUGUAAAACUCUUUCGGCGGGGAAGAUAAUGACGGUACCCGCAGAAGAAGCCCCGGCUAACUCUGUGCCAGCAGCCGCGGUAAUACAGAGGGGGCAAGCGUUGUUCGGAAUCACUGGGCGUAAAGCGCACGUAGGUGGAUAGUUAAGUUCGGGGUGAAAUCCCAGGGCUCAACCCUGGAACUGCCUCGGAUACUGGCUAUCUCGAGUCCGGAAGAGGUGAGUGGAAUUCCUAGUGUAGAGGUGAAAUUCGUAGAUAUUAGGAAGAACACCGGUGGCGAAGGCGGCUCACUGGUCCGGUACUGACACUGAGGUGCGAAAGCGUGGGGAGCAAACAGGAUUAGAUACCCAUGUAGUCCCUGAGCGGGCUGGCAAGGCGCAU
rnacentral:rRNA from 1 species